CUCGACUUGAUUCUUCAUAGCGAUUGCUGUUUUUAAAAUCAAACACAACAGGCCAGAAGCUCCUCGCAGAGCCAGUGACUUGACUUAAUCACGAGUUACGAUGUCAAACAGAGUGGUCUACUCAGCUGUGAAAUUCAGGAACUUGGAUCAUAAGAUCAGUGAAACCCAGAGCGAUGUCGUUUAUUCCGAAGUGCGAAUCUGCGGUUCUGUCCCCACGCAACGUGCGCCCAGUUGCGAACAAACAGGCAAGACAGACACGCGGGGUCGCGGGAAGGUUAUUAUCGUAACGUAAUUAAACACAUCUCCUAAGAACCUAAAAGCUGAAAUGAUCCAAAGAAAAGUGUUUCAGAUUUGGAAAGUGUUUCAAUCCC